rnacentral:rRNA from 1 species
CAGCAGCCGCGGGAAUACGUAGGUGGCGAGCGUUGUCCGGAAUUAUUGGGCGUAAAGGGCUCGCAGGCGGUUUCUUAAGUCUGAUGUGAAAGCCCCCGGCUCAACCGGGAGGGUCAUUGGAAACUGGGAAACUUGAGUGCAGAAGAGGAGAGUGGAAUUCCACGUGUAGCGGUGAAAUGCGUAGAGGUGUGGAGGAACACCAGUGGCGAAGGCGACUCUCUGGUCUGUAACUGACGCUGAGGAGCGAAAGCGUGGGGAGCGAACAGGAUUAGAUACCCCAGUAGUCCCUGUCUCUUAUACA